rnacentral:lncRNA from 1 species
CCUGGAACCAUCAUAGUUCUGUCUCGCUUGUUUAAAAACAGAGAAGACACAUUGAGUCACUCACACUUUAGAAGAACUGUAAGUCUUAACUCUCAAAGUCAUUGUCUCUCAUUAGUGCAGAUGUUGCCUCUAGUAUUCAUUACAAUUUGUCUCCUAAAGGAGACUGCUGGUGAAGAUGUCAUAAAACCAGUCGUCACAGAGAAGCAUGUUUUGGAAGGAAAAGAUGUUACACUGAUCUGCAAAUACACUGAAACUGUUCAAAAUUUACAAUGGUAUCGUCAGUAUCCUGGAUCCAAACCUGAGCACCUCAUCACGUUCUAUGAGACCACUCCACAUAAAGACACCACUCUCCGUCUGAACGCUGCGGCUGAUAAAACAGCCAAAAAUAUGAAUUUGACGAUCUCUUCUACAGAAGUGACAGACUCUGCCAUGUACUACUGUGCCCUGCAGCCCACAUUGACAGGAAACACAACUACACUGUACAAAAACUGAGUGAGAAAUAUAUUUGCGGAAGAUGAUGAUGCACAAUGCAGUUUUCUGAACUGCACACUAAUCUGCUACAUGUUGGAAUACAUUUUAAAUGGAUGUAAAAGUGAUUGAGUGUCCCUUAAAUAUCAAGAUUAACUUUAACAUAGAGAUUAAAAGAUAGACUUGAAUCAAAAUUAUACUUGAAUCAUUUGACCUCUGUUACAGUGUCACUUCUUAUAUAAUAUCAUAAAUCAGAGUGCCCAAAUAUCAUUUUAGUAUGUAAACUACAGUUUAUUCAUAUACUGACUGUACUUGUAGGGUGAGAUGAGUGAGUAGACACUGUGUGGGAGGAGCUCCAUGUUUUGUCAAAUUCAGCAGAAGAGCUCAAGAGGUUUCAUCUCAGUUUAGUUCUUGACUCUUAAAGUCAUUGUCUCUCAUUAGUGCAGAUGUUGCUCUUCACAUUCAUUAUAUUUUCUCUUCUAAAAGAAACUGCUGGUGAAGAUGUCAUAAAACCAGUCGUCACAGAGAAGCAUGUUUUGGAAGGAAAAGAUGUUACACUGAUCUGCAAAUACACUGAAACUGUCAAGAAUUUACAAUGGUAUCGUCAGUAUCCCGGAUCCAAACCUGAGAACCUCAUCACGUUCUAUGAGACCACUCCACAUAAAGAGACCACUCUCCGUCUGAACGCUGCGGCUGAUAAAACAGCCAAAAGUAUGAAUUUGACGAUCUCUUCUACAGAAGUGACAGACUCUGCCAUGUACUACUGUGCCCUGGUGCCCACAGUGACAGGAAACACAAGAACACUGUACAAAAAACGUUAG